GACGAACGCUGGCGGCGUGCUUAACACAUGCAAGUCGAACGGAAAGGCCCUGCUUUUGUGGGGUGCUCGAGUGGCGAACGGGUGAGUAACACGUGAGUAACCUGCCCUUGACUUUGGGAUAACUUCAGGAAACUGGGGCUAAUACCGGAUAUGAGCUCCUGCUGCAUUGUGGGGGUUGGAAAGUUUCGGCGGUUGGGGAUGGACUCUCGGCUUAUCAGCUUGUUGGUGGGGUAGUGGCUUACCAAGGCUUUGACGGGUAGCCGGCCUGGGAGGGUGACCGGCCACCUUGGGACUGCGAUACGGCGCAGACUCCUACGGGAGGCAGCAGUGGGGAAUAUUGCACAAUGGGCGGACGCGUGAUGCAGCAACGCCGCGUGCGGGAUGACGGCCUUCGGGUUGUAAACCGAUUUGGCAUGUGACGAAGAGUGCGUGACGGUAAUGGGUAAAGAAGCCACGGCUAACUACGUG
rnacentral:rRNA from 1 species